UACGUAGGGGGGCAAGCGUUGUCCGGAAUCAUUUGGGCGUAAAAGAGCGCGUAGGCGGCCCUGUAAGUCCGCUGUGAAAGUCAAGGGCUCAACCCUUGGAUGCCGGUGGAUACUGCAGGGCUAGAGUCCGGAAGAGGCGAGUGGAAUUCCCAGUGUAGAGGUGAAAUUCGUAGAUAUUGGGAAGAACACCGGUGGCGAAGGCGGCUCUCUGGACCGAGACUGACGCUGAGGCGCGAAAAGCGUGGGGGAGCAAACAGG
rnacentral:rRNA from 1 species